CCAUAGUAUGUGUUAUCAACCAUAGCAUGCGUUAUCAACCAUAGUAUGCAUUACCAACCAUAGUAUGCGUUGUCAACCAUAGUAUGCGUUGUCAACCAUAGCAUGCGUUAUCAACCAUAGCAUGCGUUGUCAACCAUAGCAUGCGUUAUCAACCAUACUAUGCAUUACCAACCAUAGUAUGCGUUAUCACCCAAAACUUAAUGUUAGAUUUUCGGGACAGGUUUAAGGUGUUGAGUCAUACAUCUGCUGACAGAUAUUUAUGAAUAUUUAUGAAUGUCUGUAUCUUUAUAUAAAUUUUUUAAUACUGAUUUAAGGUAAUUAAUAUUGAGUUUUGUGUUGAUUACCUUGAUACCUUUUAGCAAGUAUUUUGAUGUAUUUUGAGAUUAAAAAUAUGAAAAUAUCCAAGCUAUUCUGUUAGCACUUAUGACAGAAAUAUGAGUUUGUUAAUACGUAUUAUUAAAUUUAGUUUUCAAGCAUCGUGUAGAACAGGUAAAUGGUGUUAACAAGGACCUGUAAUUAACAAGCAUCGUGUAGAACAGGUACAUGGUGUUAACAAGGAGCUGUAAUUAACAAGCAUCGUGUAAAACAGGUACAUGGUGUUAACAAGGAGUUGUAAUUAACAAGCAUCGUGUAGAACAGGUACAUGGUGUUCACAAGGAGCUGUAAUUAACAAGCAUCGUGUAGAACAGGUAAAUGGUGUUAACAAGGAGCUGUAAUUAACAAGCAUCGUGUAGAACAGGUAAAUGGUGUUAACAAGGAGCUGUAAUUAACAAGCAUCGUGUAGAACAGGUAAAUGGUGUUAACAAGGAGCUGUAAUUAACAAGCAUCGUGUAGAACAGGUACAUGGUGUUAACAAGGAGCUGUAAUUAACAAGCAUCGUGUAGAACAGGUACAUGGUGUUAACAAGGAGCUGUAAUUAACAAGCAUCGUGUAGAACAGGUACAUGGUGUUCACAAGGAGCUGUAAUUAACAAGCAUCGUGUAGAACAGGUAAAUGGUGUUAACAAGGAGCUGUAAUUAACAAGCAUCGUGUAGAACAGGUACAUGGUGUUCACAAGGAGCUGUAAUUAACAAGCAUCGUGUAGAACAGGUAAAUGGUGUUAACAAAGAGCUGUAAUUAACAUUGGUAAAUCUUAAUUUAUAAUUGUUCUAACAAGUAUUGUUCUUCAAAAAUAUGACUGUUGAUGAUUUUAUGAUUUUAGUAUAAAUUAUUCACAUUAUUUUCGCAUUACACAACUUUAUAAUUAAUAAUGUAACAGCUGCGGAUUAUAUGUUACGCUGGAUAUCUGUACUUAGGAAUCCACGUUAUGGAACUUUCAGCUUAUCAUUAAUGCCUAUAAAAGGUAAUACCUAGUUUUUUCAGCUUAUCAUUCAUGCUAAAAAUGGGCCUCUCAAAACGAUAUAAAGUUCAACGAGGAGAAAUUUCAACUACUCAGAUAUGGAAAACUUGACGAAAUUAAAAAUGUGUCAGGGUAUACCUAUUUAUUCUGCCGUAUAAAAUGUUAUUCAAGGGAAAUGUUCAGAAGAAAUAAAGGAAUUAUGUAAGGGUUUAUUUGAGAGCACAAGUAAAACAUUGGUAACCUCUCAUAAGCAUUUCAUUUACGAUAAAAGAUAAUUAUCUUAGGAGAACUGUAUAUAUUGACGAAGAAGCCUGCGCACCAGGCUCCUUCAGUAGGAUACAUGAAACUGUACUACUGAAGUGUAGGGGUAAAUAUGUGAUGAUGUUCCUUAACAUGAGUAGGUAGUAAGUCCUCUAACCUGAGAGACUGACCAUCUUUUUUCAGUUAAAGACAGAUCACUUUAAAAUUACCUCUCGACAUCUACCGUCUCCAAUAUUAUUAUUGUCUGUAUUCUGCUGAAGAAGUCUGCUGCGCAGGUGAAACGUUUCCACAAUGAGAUAUCUAAUUAUUGUACGUUUGUGUUACUUAUCAACUUGUCGCUGUUGCAAACCAUUUAUAACAUAUGAUUAAUUAUUAUCAUUGCUUUUGCUUUGAAUGUUUUGGAUUUAAUUACAUAAAACUAGAGUAGAUAAACUCGGAAGCUCCAUAUAUUUUCUUUUGUAAUGAGACAUAGUUUACUGUUAAUUAUUAGGGCUAUGUAUAUUUAUAGUGUACUUCAGUUGGGAACAAUGUGAUACCGAAGUGUCUUUGUGUAUUAUAGUAAGAACCGAUGUGUGAUAGAUUGUUUGAUAUAUGUACAUAGUAUACAUAAUUACAUAUUGUUUUCUAUAUUUAUGUUGUUUAUAAUAUAUGAGAGUAGUGAGUUUACCUUGGGUAAGUGUGUGUUGAUAUGAGAGUAGUGAGUUUACCUUGAGUGUGUGUUGAUAUGAGAGUAGUGAGUUUACCUUGAGUGUGUGUUGAUAUGAGAGUAGUGAGUUUACCUUGAGUGUGUGUUGAUAUGAAGUAGAGGGGACGAGGCUGCCUACCUACCACUCACUUAGGAGUUAGAAACAUAUUCAUCUCUGAUAGUGAACUGAAAAUUAUGAAAAUAUUAAUCAGCAUCUGUAGGUGUGAUUAAUACCUCCCUUUUAGUAUUAGGCAUGUGUGAAAUGUUAUAUUUAGACAAUUUCUUUUUGCUUAGAUUUUAGACAGCCUUUCAACAGCUACAUAAAUCUCCGCAUAUCUGGAAUAGGUGACAUUUCAAGAUAAUUAUCCAGUCCAGUAUACACUGUAUAUAUUGUAAACUUUCUCAAGCACGUUUAAUGUUAUGACUCACCUAUAUGUUUACAUUUGCUGGUGAUGUGUUGAGGAGACCAGCAACACAAGACUCCGCAAGUUUAUGCUGCUAUGUCUAGUGUUAUUUUGGACGGUUUAUUGUAAGAGUGGCAUAUGUUUUAUAUAAAGCAGUAUCACUGAU